rnacentral:rRNA from 1 species
CCUACGGGAGGCAGCAGUGGGGAAUAUUGCACAAUGGGCGAAAGCCUGAUGCAGCAACGCCGCGUGAGCGAUGAAGGCCUUCGGGUCGUAAAGCUCUGUCCUCAAGGAAGAUAAUGACGGUACUUGAGGAGGAAGCCCCGGCUAACUACGUGCCAGCAGCCGCGGUAAUACGUAGGGGGCGAGCGUUAUCCGGACUUACUGGGCGUAAAGGGGGCGUAGGUGGUUUCGUAAGUCAGAGGUGAACGGCUACGGCUCAACCGUAGGAAGCCUUUGCAAGGGGGGAACUUGAGUGCAGGAGAGGCGAGUCGAAUUCCUAGUGUAGCGGUGAACUGCGUCGGUAUUAGGAGGGCCCCCAGUUGCGAAGGCGUCUCUCUGGACUGUACCUGACACUGCGGCAC